GACGAACGCUGGCGGCGUGCCUAAUACAUGCCAGUAGAACGCUGAAGGAGGAGCUUGCUUCUCUGGAUGAGUUGCGAACGGGUGAGUAACGCGUAGGUAACCUGCCUGGUAGCGGGGGAUAACUAUUGGAAACGAUAGCUAAUACCGCAUAAUAGUAGAUGUUGCAUGACAUUUGCUUAAAAGGUGCAAUUGCAUCACUACCAGAUGGACCUGCGUUGUAUUAGCUAGUUGGUGGGGUAACGGCUCACCAAGGCGACGAUACAUAGCCGACCUGAGAGGGUGAUCGGCCACACUGGGACUGAAACACGGCCCAGACUCCUACGGGAGGCAGCAGUAGGGAAUCUUCGGCAAUGGACGGAAGUCUGACCGAGCAACGCCGCGUGAGUGAAGAAGGUUUUCGGAUCGUAAAGCUCUGUUGUAAGAGAAGAACGAGUGUGAGAGUGGAAAGUUCACACUGUGACGGUAUCUUACCAGAAAGGGACGGCUAACUACGUG
rnacentral:rRNA from 1 species